GUGGGGAAUCUUCCGCAAUGGACGAAAGUCUGACGGAGCAACGCCGCGUGAGUGAAGAAGGUUUUCGGAUCGUAAAGCUCUUUCGUUAGGGACGAACGUGCUCUUUGUGAAUAAUGAGGAGUAAUGACGGUACCUAAAUAAGAAGCCACGGCUAACUACGUACCAGCAGCCGCGGUAAUACGUAGGUGGCAAGCGUUGUCCGGAAUUAUUGGGCGUAAAGCGCGCGCAGGCGGGAUAUCAAGUCUGUCUUAAAAGUGCGAGGCUCAACCUCGUGAGGGGACAGAAACUGGGAUUCUUGAGUGUCGGAGAGGAAAGUGGAAUUCCAAGUGUAGCGGUGAAAUGCGUAGAGAUUUGGAAGAACACCAGUGGCGAAGGCGACUUUCUGGACGAUGUCUGACGCUGAGGCGCGAAAGCUAGGGGAGCGAACGGGAUUAGAUACCCUUGUAGUCC
rnacentral:rRNA from 1 species